CAGCCGCCACGGGAAUACGUAGGGUGCGAGCGUUAAUCGGAAUUACUGGGCGUAAAGCGUGCGCAGGCGGUUCGUUAAGACAGAUGUGAAAUCCCCGGGCUUAACCUGGGAACUGCAUUUGUGACUGGCGAGCUAGAGUAUGGCAGAGGUGGGUAGAAUUCCACGUGUAGCAGUGAAAUGCGUAGAGAUGUGGAGGAAUACCGAUGGCGAAGGCAGCCCCCUGGGCCAAUACUGACGCUCAUGCACGAAAGCGUGGGGGGCAAACAGGAUUAGAUACCCCCGUAGUCCCUGUCUCUUAUAC
rnacentral:rRNA from 1 species